AAGAUUAUACUUCAUAGGAUCAUUUCCGUAGUAUGAUUAGUGCUAUUCCUGUCAAACAGGAGGCUGCACGUAGUUACGAUGAUGAAAUUGGGAUCGCUUCGGGAGCAGGAAUAAGACGGUGGCUGUCGACCCCAACAGCCAUCUCUUUGAUGACAGCACUCUUCGGAGUCUGAAGUGAUUCAAUUCUGAGUGGU
rnacentral:snoRNA from 1 species